UACGAAGGGGGGCUAGCGUUGCUCGGAAUUACUGGGCGUAAAGGGAGCGUAGGCGGACAUUUAAGUCAGAGGUGAAAUCCCGGAGCUUAACUUCGGAACUGCCUUUGAUACUGGGUGUCUUGAGUGUGAGAGAGGUAUGUGGAACUCCGAGUGUAGAGGUGAAAUUCGUAGAUAUUCGGAAGAACACCAGUGGCGAAGGCGGCUCACUGGACGACUGAUGACGCUUGGAGGGUGCGAAAGCGUGGGGAGCAAACAGG
rnacentral:rRNA from 1 species